CAGCAUCAACGCGAACCAAAAGAGGAGCCACGAAGGAAAAAACAAUAACAGCGAGAGCCGCCAUACACAGCACAGCAACAGUUUAGCUCUCGAUACACAAGAUUUCCUCAACUGCGUGCGUGCCUCCCACAUUUUGCCUCCCCACUUUGUUCCUCCCACUCGCCCGUCGACCUGAUUUGUGUGGUAGUAGCAACUCAUCUGCCAGCAGCGUCAUGUUCGCUGAUUUCGAGUCCGUCAUGUCGUCCAACUUCACGUUGGACGACUGCCCGAGGGUGGGCCCCUUUACGUACCACAACAUGGAUGAGGACACGCUGGAGGAACCGCUGUCACUGUGCUCCUACAGACGCGCUCCACAGCAAACCACCGAAAGAUCGCCGGCUUCCUGCGAUGCUGUGACGGCCGACCCGCUCGACUCCAGCCGCUACCUCCACGGCGAGAACCGUUGCUGGACGCUGACGGCGUCGUGCCCAGUGCCGCGAGCAAUCCCAAAGAUUGACAUGAAGAAGGGUACGACGACCCUCGCCUUCCGUUUCAACGGCGGCAUCAUCGUUGCCGUCGACUCGCGUGCGUCGACGGGGCAGUACAUCGCAUCACAGACGGUGCUGAAGGUCCUGGAGAUCAACGACUACCUACUGGGUACGCUUGCUGGUGGUGCAGCCGAUUGCCAAUACUGGGAGCGCGUGCUUGGUAUGGAGUGCCGCCUGUGGGAGUUGCGCAACGGCAGCCGCAUCACCGUCGCGGCGGCGAGCAAGAUUCUGGCGAACAUCACGUACGCCUACCGCAACCACGGACUUUCGAUGGGCACGAUGCUGGCCGGCUGGGAUCAGUUUGGCCCUUCGCUCUACUACGUGGACGACAAGGGCUCUCGCGUGAAACAGGACCUCUUCAGUGUCGGCUCCGGCUCCAUUUACGCUUACGGUGUGCUUGACACGGGCUACCGCAAGGACCUCUCUGUCGAGGAUGCGUGCGACCUGGCGCGCCGCUCCAUCUUCCACGCGACGUACCGCGAUGGCGCCUCUGGCGGUAUCGUGACAGUGUACCACGUGCACGAGAAGGGCUGGACCAAGAUCUCGCGCGAUGACCAGACGAAGCUCUACGACCGCUACUUUCCGUCCCAGUAGGGAAAGACCAACCUACGCCUGGGCGGACAGGGGGAGGCGGGGGUGCGGAGUUGCUUCCUAUGUGCAGAUCGCGUGCUGGCGCCUCCACCCUCCCCCAGGCGCUCGCGCCCCUCGCAUUUCGCCCGUUCACGCUCGAUGCUCUCUCUGUUGUAGUUAUUAUGUGCCCUGCGGCUCCAUGGAGGAUGACACGCUCUGCGCUGUCCCUCCCCUCUCUCCCCCUCCUCCGGCAAUGUUGGUCUGCCUGUCUGUCUUCUCCCUUUUGAUGAGAGGACACCGUGAUGCUCUUCUGUUUGUUUUCUUUCCUGCGCGGUGGCGCAUGUGGGCAUUCUCUCACAUGCUGUUCUGCCUGUGGAGGGGCACGAGUAUUGUGUGUGUGUGUGUGUGUGUACCGUGUCUCUUUUUUUCUGACGGUUUAUGCAGAGCCUUUCGUGGUCGUGCGUUUGUGGCUGAGGGCUGUUCAAAGCGCAGCUCUCCCCCCCCCCCCCGCGCGCAAAAACCAAACCAGAGGAAAAGAGCAUAGCCAACCUCCAGAGCAUGCGCUUUGUAACCGGUCGGGUGCCGAGCAUCG
rnacentral:misc_RNA from 1 species